rnacentral:rRNA from 1 species
UGUGGCGCAUGCCACGCUUUUGAAAGAUGGUUUCGGCUAUCGCUUACAGAUGGGCCCGCGGUGCAUUAGCUAGUUGGUAGGGUAAUGGCCUACCAAGGCAACGAUGCAUAGCCGACCUGAGAGGGUGAUCGGCCACACUGGGACUGAGACACGGCCCAGACUCCUACGGGAGGCAGCAGUAGGGAAUCUUCCGCAAUGGACGAAAGUCUGACGGAGCAACGCCGCGUGUAUGAAGAAGGUUUUCGGAUCGUAAAGUACUGUUGUUAGAGAAGAACAAGGAUAAGAGUAACUGCUUGUCCCUUGACGGUAUCUAACCAGAAAGCCACGGCUAACUACGUGCCAGCAGCCGCGGUAAUACGUAGGUGGCAAGCGUUGUCCGGAUUUAUUGGGCGUAAAGCGCGCGCAGGCGGUCUUUUAAGUCUGAUGUGAAAGCCCCCGGCUUAACCGGGGAGGGUCAUUGGAAACUGGAAGACUGGAGUGCAGAAGAGGAGAGUGGAAUUCCACGUGUAGCGG